CGUGGCAUAGCUUAACCAAAAGCACCCCGCUUACACCGGGAAGCUAUCUGUGAAACCCGGAUUACCACGA
rnacentral:tRNA from 1 species